CGGCGAACGGGUGAGUAACACGUGGGCAACCUGCCCUCAGCUCUGGGACAACUCCGGGAAACCGGGGCUAAUACCGGAUACGACUUUCGACCUCAUGGUCGUUGGUGGAAAGUUUUUCGGCUGAGGAUGGGCCCGCGGCCUAUCAGCUUGUUGGUGGGGUAAUGGCCUACCAAGGCGACGACGGGUAGCCGGCCUGAGAGGGCGACCGGCCACACUGGGACUGAGACACGGCCCAGACUCCUACGGGAGGCAGCAGUGGGGAAUAUUGCGCAAUGGGCGAAAGCCUGACGCAGCGACGCCGCGUGAGGGAUGAAGGCCUUCGGGUUGUAAACCUCUUUCAGCAGGGACGAAGCGAAAGUGACGGUACCUGCAGAAGAAGCACCGGCCAACUACGUGCCAGCAGCCGCGGUAAUACGUAGGGUGCAAGCGUUGUCCGGAAUUAUUGGGCGUAAAGAGCUCGUAGGCGGCUCAGUAAGUCAGGUGUGAAAACUCCAGGCUCAACCUGGAGACGCCAUCUGAUAC
rnacentral:rRNA from 1 species